CUCGGUGGAUCAGUGGCGAACGGGUGAGUAACACGUGAGCAACCUGCCCCUGACUCUGGGAUAAGCGCUGGAAACGGCGUCUAAUACUGGAUAUGAGCUGCGACCGCAUGGUCAGCAGUUGGAAAGAUUUUUCGGUCUGGGAUGGGCUCACGGCCUAUCAGCUUGUUGGUGAGGUAAUGGCUCACCAAGGCGUCGACGGGUAGCCGGCCUGAGAGGGUGACCGGCCACACUGGGACUGAGACACGGCCCAGACUCCUACGGGAGGCAGCAGUGGGGAAUAUUGCACAAUGGGCGGAAGCCUGAUGCAGCAACGCCGCGUGAGGGACGACGGCCUUCGGGUUGUAAACCUCUUUUAGCAGGGAAGAAGCGAAAGUGACGGUACCUGCAGAAAAAGCGCCGGCUAACUACGUGCCAGCAGCCGCGGUAAUACGUAGGGCGCAAGCGUUAUCCGGAAUUAUUGGGCGUAAAGAGCUCGUAGGCGGUUUGUCGCGUCUGCUGUGAAAUCCCGAGGCUCAACCUCGGGUCUGCAGUGGGUACGGGCAGACUAGAGUGCGGUAGGGGAGAUUGGAAUUCCUG
rnacentral:rRNA from 1 species